GCUGGGCCGGCCUCGGGCCUGGCCCUGGGCCUGGCCGGGUUGCCCCGUCCGUGGGUGCCCCGUGCGCCCGCCCGCGCGUUGUGCCGAGGCCCCCACAGCCCUCCCUAUGCAGCGCUGUUUCCCUUCCCGUGUGCUGCGUUGCUUCUCCCUCCGCCCUGAACAGGCCUGUGCUGUCGCUGCCCAGCUCCUUCUCUGCUCUCACACCAGUGCCUCGUGUCCUGUGCCUCUGAACAGCCCCGUCCAGCAGACUGAUCACUGCCCUGCAAGCUAAUGAACAGGUACAGUUUCCGCCUCAACAAAAUCAAACCUGCUCAGGAGGAACUACGGCUACGUGGUCUCCAUCAACUGCUGGUGUUCAAUCUCCAUGAACGGUUUUGUCAGUGGACUUGAAUGAGACUGCAGAGAAAUAUCAAGCUGGUUACUUCUGUUUCAUGGCUGUGUGUUAUUUCAAAGAUAUGGCACACUGAUUUCAAAAGCAUUUGCUGGAAUGCUUCUAUUGAAAGCAUAGGAAGAGAGAAGAAAGAGUGGAUCUCAAACCAUAAAGAGUUAAAUCAAAUCUUGCUGUUAACAAUUUUCCUUGGUUUCUUCUCCCUAGUUAUGUGAAGUUCUUUAUUUAAAAAAUCCUUUUCUUGACACUCUUUCAUGGUAUGAG
rnacentral:lncRNA from 1 species